rnacentral:tRNA from 1 species
UCCCUGAUGGCUCAGUGGUAAAGAAUCUGCCUGCAAUGCAGGAGACCCGGGUUCAGUCCCUGGGUUGGGAA